rnacentral:rRNA from 1 species
AUGAACGCUGGCGGCGUGCCUAACAAUGCAAGUCGAGCGGUAACAGGUGUAGCAAUACAUGCUGACGAGCGGCGAACGGGUGAGUAAUGCUUCGGAAUCUGCCCAAUGGUGGGGAAUAACCAGCCGAAAGGUUGGCUAAUACCGCAUAAGUCCUACGGGGGAAAGCAGGGGAUCGUAAGACCUUGCGCCGAUGGAUGAGCCGAAGUCGGAUUAGCUAGUUGGUAGGGUAACGGCCUACCAAGGCGACGAUCCGUAGCUGGUCUGAGAGGACGACCAGCCACACUGGGACUGAGACACGGCCCAGACUCCUACGGGAGGUAGCAGUGGGGAAUAUUGGACAAUGGGGGAAACCCUGAUCCAGCGACGCCGCGUGUGUGAAGAAGGCCUGCGGGUUGUAAAGCACUUUUAGUGGGGAUGAAAAGCUCAGGGCUAACACCUCUGGGUCUUGACCUAACCCAAAGAAAAAGCACCGGCUAACUCUGUGCCAGCAGCCGCGGUAAUACAGAGGGUGCGAGCGUUAAUCGGAAUUACUGGGCGUAAAGCGUGCGUAGACGGUUAUGUAAGUCGGGUGUGAAAGCCCCGGGCUCAACC